UACAGAGGGUGCAAGCGUUAUUCGGAAUUACUGGGCGUAAAGCGCAUGUAGGUGGUUUGGUAAGUUUGAUGUGAAAGCCCUCGACUCAAUCGAGGAAGUGCAUUGGAUACUGCCAGACUGGCGUGCAGGAGGGGUGAGCGGAAUUCCUGGUGGAGAGGUGAAAUUCGUAGAUAUCAGGAGGAACAACGGUGGCGAAGGCGGCUCACUGGACUGUAACUGACACUUAGGUGCAAGGGCGUGGGGAUCAAACAGG
rnacentral:rRNA from 1 species